GAUGAACGCUGACAGAAUGCUUAACACAUGCAAGUCAACUUGAAUUUGGGUUUUUAACUUAGGUUUGGGUGGCGGACGGGUGAGUAACGCGUAAAGAACUUGCCUCACAGCUAGGGACAACAUUUGGAAACGAAUGCUAAUACCUAAUAUUAUGAUAAUAGGGCAUCCUAUAAUUAUGAAAGCUAUAAGCGCUGUGAGAGAGCUUUGCGUCCCAUUAGCUAGUUGGAGAGGUAACGGCUCACCAAGGCGAUGAUGGGUAGCCGGCCUGAGAGGGUGAUCGGCCACAAGGGGACGGAGACACGGCCCUUACUCCUACGGGAGGCAGCAGUGGGGAAUAUUGGACAAUGGACCAAGAGUCUGAUCCAGCAAUUCUGUGUGCACGAUGAAGUUUUUCGGAAUGUAAAGUGCUUUCAGUUGGGAAGAAAGAAAUGACGGUACCAACAGAAGAAGUGACGGCUAAAUACGUG
rnacentral:rRNA from 1 species